ACAAAAUACUAUAGCACAAUUUAAUAAAAUAUUUAUUUUAAUGAUGUUUCUUUAACGUUAGUGAUCAUCAGGACAUAAAUGAGGUCUGUAACUUUCCAACAAGAAAUGCCAGUAACUUCAAACGGAGAACGCGAGGAAACAUAAGUCAGCCCUAUUGGCCUCUUUAGCAAAGAUUUCUACUGGAUGUAAAAUAAAAAUAAAAAUAAAGAAAUAGUACUACAACGUUACGUUACAUAUGCCAGCGUGGGCACUGAAAUCUCUUUGAUUGUUGAUCACAGAUAUGUUUGAAAUCCCCUCCUAACCUGUACUUCAUCCUCACACUUUGUCAUUUAAUCUGUAACUGUGCAAAUAUUAGCUCUAUUGACCUACAGGCUACAGUAUACAGUUUAUGGCUAUUUGAGGGUCUUUUCUCCAUUCACAGCUAAACAUGACAUGGCCGGGGGGAAAAUGUUGUAAUACUAACGCGAACUGUGGAGGAUAGGUUGAUGAUGCGGAACCACAGGGCGCGGAGGCUGAGCCACAUGCGGUGCAGCAUAUGAUACAAGCAUAUAUGAGCAGAGGAAAAGACGGUUACCGUUAUUUUGUUUUUGUAUUAUUUUAAUGUUGUUAGUGGAGAGAAACUGUCUGGUUUGUUUUACUUAACGUUACCUCUUUGUGUCCCGUCCUGCAUCACCUCCGCCCAGUACGGGUUUGAUAUUUGAGGACUGAAAAAUGUCCACAGCUGCUCCUCCACCACCACCACCACCACCGCCCUCUCAUCCAUCCCAUGGACACCAGCGUGAAAGUAUUACUCCAUCCCCUGGGUACGCAGCAAUACCAUAUUCUUCUGACAGCCCUCCAGUCCAAGAGACAAGUCCUUCACCAGAGGCUAUACAUGGUGCAGAGGGUGCACCAGCUUCAUCACUACUCUCAGUUCAAAAUGGACCCCAGUCUCCUCUGUCGGAAGGGCAAAAAGACAAUCCCUCUGAUAGUGAGGUGAGACACCAUCCCGUGCAGGAAACUGACCCUGUACCACAGACAGAGCAGCAAGAUGACAUAACCAAUCAGACGGACCAGACUGGAGAGGACCAAUUGACCUGAAGCACUUUAGUUACUUAAAAACAAAGAUCUACAUUUACCAGUACUUGAAAAGGCCGUUCUGAAGCAGAAACAGAAACACUGUUGCAUGGUAGGUACAGUUGAGUGAGCACAUCACUUUAUGUUCAGGCCAAAGCUGUUUGGAUAUGCUACUUCAGCCUUCAAUCAUCAUUAUCAUCAUCAUCCUUGUUACUUGCAGCUGAAUUGAUAAUUUAGUGCUUUGCUUAUUUUCAUGCAAAUUCUAGCCAUAUAGGCCUACUUUAUAGUGUCUUUGAGAAACUCUUAAGCUUAAAAAUAGAUAUUUUAGUUACAUAGCCAUACAAAUCUAAAUGAGCUUAUUGCAGAAAAAAACAAAAUUAUAAAUCAUAAAGCACUGGGUAAAAGCACUUUGAGUGUAUAUUGUUGCUGCUAUUUAUAUUGUCUCUCUGCCCCUGGAGACUGCACAUUUUUACAGCCUUGGUUACAAACUGGGGAUGUGGAUUUUAAAAGACAUAAUUUACCCAGGAGGGAAAUGUUUUGGUUGAAUUAAGGGAAUUGUAAGAUCAAGCAUAUUUGGAGCUUGACCUAUACUUGGGACCAGUGUGCGAAUUAUAUCUUUAUAAAGUGAAUUAGUGAUAAAUCACCUUAUGCAUGAAUCAUACAUCAAUAAUAGCCUAAUUUUAUGCAUGAUCCAUGCUUAUGAAGAUACAAGAAAAAUAGAAAUGCAUGGCAAAAAUUGGAUACUGCCAAUAUUUAAGAGACCCCUCAAAAUUUCAUAAAGCAUCAUGUCUUAUUAAGACGAUCCGAGCUUGUCAAAAUGGCAUUGAAUUAAAACAUAAAGAAUCAGUGUGUGCAUUAAAAAAAAAAAAAAAAAAAUAGAAGAUCCGAGCUCCCUUGUAAUUGGAACCAUACUUGGGACCUGAAGUCAGGAUAUUUUGCAGUUGCAGCUUUCAUUUUAAGCACACUAUUUUAAUCUCUCUCUCUGAGUUCCCCAGUUUUAUGGAAUUACUGUAUGUGCAAUACUAAAUAUUGGGAGUACCCCUUUAUUGACGGUAUAUAGAGUAAGAGUACUUAAAUGUACAAUUGCUUGUGAUUUUCUUAAAUUAUCUCAUUUUAUUGUUUUAUUGAAUUGCACAUUUGGAUCAAAUUUUGUUUUUGUCACUUUCCAAAAAUGUUUCCAGAAAUUAAACUCAAGCCUGCUUUGAA